rnacentral:rRNA from 1 species
UUAAAAAGCUCGUAGUUGGAUUUCUGGGAGGGUGCCGCCGUCCGGCGUGUCCGUGUGCAGUGGCGCCCUUCCAUCCUUCUGUUAGCGUCUCUUGGCAUUCAUUUGCUGGUGGCGGGCUCAGAUAUUUUACCUUGAGAAAAUUAGAGUGUUUCAGGCAGGCUAGGCCGGAACACAUUAGCAUGGAAUAAUGGAAUAGGACUACGGUCUCUUUGUUGGUUUGAGGGACUGCAGUAAUGAUUAAUAGGGAUAGUUGGGGGCAUUAGUAUUUAAUUGUCAGAGGUGGAAUUCUCAGAUUUGUUAAAGACUAACUUAUGCGAAAGCAUUUGCCAAGGAUGUUUUCAUUAAUCAAGAACGAAAGUCAGGGGAU